rnacentral:rRNA from 1 species
UACGGGGGGGGCAAGCGUUGUUCGGAAUUACUGGGCGUAAAGGGCUCGUAGGCGGCCAACUAAGUCGGAUGUGAAAUCCCCAGGCUUAACCUGGGAACUGCAUCUGAUACUGGAUGGCUUGAAUCCGGGAGAGGGAUGCAGAAUUCCAGGUGUAGCGGUGAAAUGCGUAGAUAUCUGGAGGAACACCGGUGGCGAAGGCGACGUCCUGGACCGGCAUUGACGCUGAGGCGCGAAAGCUAGGGGAGCAAACGGG